rnacentral:rRNA from 1 species
GACGAACGCUGGCGGCGUGCUUAACACAUGCAAGUCGAACGGAAAGGCCCUGCUUUUGUGGGGUGCUCGAGUGGCGAACGGGUGAGUAACACGUGAGUAACCUGCCCUUGACUUUGGGAUAACUUCAGGAAACUGGGGCUAAUACCGGAUAGGAGCUCCUGCUGCAUGGUGGGGGUUGGAAAGUUUCGGCGGUUGGGGAUGGACUCGCGGCUUAUCAGCUUGUUGGUGGGGUAGUGGCUUACCAAGGCUUUGACGGGUAGCCGGCCUGAGAGGGUGACCGGCCACAUUGGGACUGAGAUACGGCCCAGACUCGUACGGGAGGCAGCAGUGGGGAAUAUUACACAGUGGGCGGACGCCUGAGGCAGCAACGCCGGGUGCGGGAUGACGGCUUUCGGGGUGUAAACCGCUUUCGCCUGUGACGAAGCGUGCGUGACGGUAAUGGGUAAAGAAGCACCGGCUAACUACGUG